GACGAACGCUGGCGGUGUGCUUCACACAUGCAAGUCGAACGGAGUAGCAAUACUCAGUGGCGGACGGGUGAGUAACACGUGGGAAUCUACCAUUAGAUGGGGAAUAACAGGCCGAAAGGACUGCUAAUGCCGCAUAUGUAUGUGCCUCGACAGGGGCGUAUAUGAAAGGAGUAAUCCGUCUGAUGAUGAGCCCGCGUCCGAUUAGCUAGUUGGUAAGGUAAAAGCUUACCAAGGCGACGAUCGGUAGGUGGUCUGAGAGGAUGAUCACCCACAAUGGGACUGAGACACGGCCCAUACCCCUAC
rnacentral:rRNA from 1 species